rnacentral:rRNA from 1 species
UACGUAGGGAGCAAGCGUUGUCCGGAAUCAUUGGGCGUAAAGCGCGCGUAGGUGGCUUCGUAAGUCCGUUGUGAAAGUCAAAGGCUCAACCUUUGAAAGCCGAUGGAUACUGCGGAGCUAGAGUACGGAAGAGGCGAGUGGAAUUCCUGGUGUAGCGGUGGAAUGCGCAGAUAUCAGGAGGAACACCGAUUGCGAAGGCAGCUCGCUGGGACGUAACUGACGCUGAGACGCGAAAGCGUGGGGAGCAAACAGG